rnacentral:rRNA from 1 species
UACGAAGGGGGCUAGCGUUGCUCGGAAUUACUGGGCGUAAAGGGCGCGUAGGCGGCUUUGUUAGUCAGGCGUGAAAAUCCUGGGCUCAACCUGGGGACUGCGCUUGAUACGGCAGGGCUAGAGGACGGAAGAGGCUCGCGGAAUUCCCAGUGUAGAGGUGAAAUUCGUAGAUAUUGGGAAGAACACCGGUGGCGAAGGCGGCGAGCUGGUCCGUUACUGACGCUGAGGCGCGACAGCGUGGGGGAGCAAACAGG